rnacentral:tRNA from 6 species
GCCAAGGUAGCCUAGUCUGGUGAGGCGGUGGACUGCAGAUCCACUAUACGUGAGUUCAAAUCUCACCCUUGGCU